UUUUUCUUUUUCUUUAGCAAUAUCAUUUUCAGUGUAUGGGUAUUCCACAUCUUUGUCAGAUUCAUCCCAAAGUCUUUUACAUUUUUGAGACUAUUAUAAAUGGAAUUCUUAUUUUUAUAUUUCAACUUCUGAUUUUUCAUUGUUUUUAUAUAGGAACAAAAUUGGUUUCUGUAUAUUGGUCUUAUAUCCUGCAACUUUUCUAACUUCACUAGUUCUAGUAACUUUUGGGGGAAUUCCAAGGGAUUUUCUACAAAGACCAGGGGUUUGCAAACUAUGGACCAUGGGCUAAAUGUAGUCUGAUGCUUGUUCUACAAGUAAAGUUUUACUGGAACACAGACAUGCUCAUUUGGUUAUAUAUUGUCUAUGAUUCUUUUGUAUUACAAUGACAAAGGUAAGUAGUUCAACAGAGAUAACAUAGAUAAGCACGUCACAUACAAUAAAGGCAGUCUUGUUUCUAUAACCUUCAGUAAAAUGCUGAAUAGUCACUUCUAUUCAGCAUCCUUGUCCUGUUUUGAUCUUAGAGGAAAAGCAUUGUCUUUCACUAUCAUGUAUGGUGUUGAUAGAGAUUUUUUGUUUUGUUUUGUUUUGUCUGUGCCUUUCUAGGGCCGUUCCUGCGGCAUAUGCAGGAAUGGCCCUAGAAAAGGCAAAAAAACCAAAAAAAAAAAAAAAAAAGUUUCGUAAAAUUCACUACGUAGUCAUCUGGGAUUGAGGUUUUCUUUGUGAAAAGGUUUUUAACUACAGAUUAAAAGUUUUAGUACAUAUAGGGCAAUUAGGGUAUCUAUUUCUUUGUGAGCAAGAUUUUAUGGUUUGCAUUUUCAAAGAAUUGUCUGUUUCAUCUAACUUAUUGGAUUUACUGGCAUAAAUUUUCAGUUUUUUUUAAUCAUCCUUUUAAUACUGGUUGAAAAUGUAGUGAUGUCACCUCUCUCUUUUCUGAUAUCGAUAAUUUGUGUCAUCUUUUUUUCUGAUAACUCUAGCUAAAAAUACAUCAGUUAUGUUGAUCUUUUCAUUGGUUUCCUCUAUUAUUUUGGUUUUCCAUUUUACUGAGUUCUUUUUUUUAAUUCAAAUUACUUUGGGUUUAAUUUGCUCUUCUUUUUCUAGUUUCUUAAAGUGGAAGCUGAGGUUGGUAACUUAAGAUUUUUCUUCUUUCCUAAUAAAGUCAUUUACUUCUCUAAAUUUCCUUCUAAGUGCUAGUUUUGUGUCAUCCCCUACACUGUGUGUGUCAUCCUAUGCAUUCCCUAUUUUUUAUUUUUUGACCCAUUUGUUAUUUAGAUUAUAAAUAUUUGAGGAUUUUCCAAUGAUCUAUGGCAAUUAGUCUUAUUACUGAGGCAAAAACCUCUGGGUACUGUACCAAAUGUUAUAUGAAUCUCGAUGUUUUCCACUCUGGGUAGAAGGAAUAGGCACCAUUCUCAGUACUGUGUGAGCACCAUACACUGUUUCUGCUAAUCCUUUUAGAGGGACCAUAUGCUGAUGAGUAUUCAGCUAAACAAUCAAGGGGGAUCCUCUACAGAUCUUUGAAAAAUUCCCUCUCUGUGCAGUACUCUGUCCUAUAACCCCUAGCCACCUUGGUCUCCUUGGUCUCUCAGCUCCAUCUCCUCAACCCACAGAGUCCAUCAGGCUCUGUCCACUUCCCUGUACUGAAAACUCUCCCAUGGCAGUAAGCUGCAGCAGCCGUAUGUCUCACUCGUUUUUUCUUCUUGCCUCUCAAGUAUC
rnacentral:lncRNA from 1 species